rnacentral:rRNA from 1 species
CCUACGGGUGGCAGCAGUGGGGAAUAUUGGACAAUGGGGGAAACCCUGAAGCAGCGACGCCGCGUGAGUGAAGAAGUAUCUAGGUGUGUUAAGCUUUAUUAGUCGGGGAGAAAAUGACGGUACCUGACUCAGAAUCCCCGUCUCACUACGUGCCAGAAGCCGCGGUAAUAUGUCGGCGGCAAGCGUUAUACGGAUUUACUGGGUGUAAAGGGAACGUAGUCGGGAGCACAGGUCUGUAGGGAAUUGUUGGGGCUGAACCCCGGAAGUGCUGUGGAAACUGGGCGGCUUGAGUGAAGGAGAGGUAGGCGGAAUGCGUGGUGUAGCGGUGAAAUGCGUAGAUAUCACGAGGAACACCGGUGGCGAAGGCAGCGUACUGGACUGUGACUGACGUUGAGGCUCGAAAGCGUGGGGAGCAAACAGGAUUAGAUACCCGUGUAGUC